rnacentral:rRNA from 1 species
CGAAAGCCUGACGGAGCAAGACCGCGUGGGGGAGGAAGGCUCUAGGGUUGUAAACCCCUUUUCUUUGGGAAGAACAAAAUGACGGUACCAAAGGAAUCAGCCUCGGCUAACUCCGUGCCAGCAGCCGCGGUAAUACGGAGGAGGCAAGCGUUAUCCGGAAUGAUUGGGCGUAAAGCGUCCGCAGGUGGCAAUGUAAGUCUGCUGUCAAAGCACGGGGCUUAACUCCGUAAAGGCAGUGGAAACUGAAUAGCUAGAGUGCCGUAGGGGUAGAGGGAAUUCCCGGUGUAGCGGUGAAAUGCGUAGAGAUCGGGAAGAACAUCGGUGGCGAAAGCGCUCUACUGGACGGCAACUGACACUCAGGGACGAAAGCUAGGGGAGCG